AGCGUCGCCCUGUACAUACUUGAAACAAUCCAGCCGUCUCUGAUGGUCACAACCUUUUGAGUCAACAUCACAAAAAAAAAAAAAAAAAAAGAAAGAAAGAAAAAAAAUUCUUUGAAAUCUUUAGUAGAAAAAAUUCUUUCAAAGAGCCAUGACUGGAGUUCCCAUCGUGGCUCAGCGGAAAUGAAUCUGACUAGCAUCUGUGAGGACGCAGCUCAUGGCAAUGCCUGAUCCUUAACCCACUGAGCAAGGCCAGGGAUCGAACCUACAACAUCAUGGUUCCUAGUCAGAUUCGUUAACCACUGCGCCACGACGGGAACUCCCGUCUUUCUGUUUUUUGGUCUUACCGUUCAUGUUGGAACCUGCCCUUUGUCUGUCUCAUUGGAGUCCGAGUCUUGGCAUGUCACGUACAGCUCUGGGUCGUGGGGCGAGUCACGUCCCUUUUCUGAGCCCUGGUUUCCUCGAGCAUUCCAUGGAGGGGAUGCUACGCUCCCCGUCAGGUUGAGCUCGACGAUGUGUGUGGGGUGCUGAGCAGGUGCCUUUGACAGUGGUUCCUCCUGCCGUGGGAGCUGCUCCGCCUGCGGGCUUCUUGAGGGUGGCGACCGAACUCAGUCCUAGAGCUUGGAAAGCCGCUCGGUGUGGGGUGAGUGGGGACAGUUAGGCAGUCUCCCUGCACUGGGUUCUCCAUAAGGGUUUGUAGGAUGGAUAAUGGAUAUGGGGGAGAGGUGGGACAUGGAUCAGCAGGAGCAGGCGCCCCGCAGAUUGAGAGGAGGUCUUGGUCUUUUUAGGGCCACACCCACGGCAUAUGGAAGUUCCCAGGCUAGGGGUCGAAUCAGAGCUGUAGCCACCAGCCUACGCCAGAGCCACAGCAACGGGGGAUCCAAGCCGCGUCUGCAACCUACACCACAGCUCACGGCAACGCCGGAUCGUUAACCCACUGAGCAAGGGCAGGGACCGAACCCGCAACCUCAUGGUUCCUAGUCGGAUUCAUUAACCACUGCACCACUACGGGAACUCCUCUUUUUUUUUAAAAGAGGGUUUCAGGCCCAUUCAAGUGUGGAUCUGCCCCUGCUCAGACCAGGGGUGCUUUGUGCCAGGAGGUUGGUGCCACCUUGCUGUGUGUCCUCAGGGAGGUUUCAUCCCAUUGUGAGCCUGGUCGUAGGUUAGAGCCCUCCCUGCCGAGGUGGGACCCAACAGGCCUCAGGGGAACCAGUUCUGGGCCAUGCCAGGCCCUCAGCUCCUGCUAGUUGUGUCAGUAAGACUGGAAAGGCCUCUCUGCCUCAACCUUACUCAUCUGUGAAAUGGACACUCUCCCUACCUGAAAAGGCUGUAGAAAGGCUUAAAUAAUCUACCAGGGAUGAACCUGCCUGGUACAGCGCCAGGCUUGGGUGGGAGCUCAGUAAGUGUUGCUGGGAGCUGGAUGGAGUUGGCUCGGGAAGCCCAUCCCUGCCUUGUGAUGGAGCCAGUUCUGCUGACUGUCAGAUUCACCUGUGCUCUGCUGUGCCUGGUGCUGGGCGCUGGGUGUGGGGAUGUGGUUGCUGGGCCAGGGUGGGUGGUCUGAUGAGCCAAGAGGGUGAGAGUGGUUAUAGGCUGUGAAGUAUGGCUCUCCGGGAAGAGGCCCUUUUGGGGGGGAGGGUCAAGUGUCAGCCACACUGUCCCUUCCUGCUCCUGGAGGAGAGGUGGUAGGGGUGUGGGAGGGUGAGGAGCCUGGCCAGGUUUGUGCCUGGACAGGCUGAGCGGACCUUUCCUGCUCAGAAAGGAAGCCAGGCCCGCAGGGUAUGCUUUUCCCGCUGCAGGUU
rnacentral:lncRNA from 1 species